rnacentral:tRNA from 1 species
GUUGGAAUGGCUGAGAGUCAAGCGGUAAAUUGUAAAUUUACAAACGAAUAAAUUAUUCUUCCAUCA